rnacentral:rRNA from 1 species
UACGUAGGGGGCAAGCGUUGUCCGGAUUUACUGGGCGUAAAGAGCGUGUAGGCGGCCACGCAGGUCCGUUGUGAAAACUGAAGGCUCAACCUCCAGACGUCGACGGAAACCGUAUGGCUAGAGUCCGGAAGAGGAGAGUGGAAUUCCGGGUGUAGUGGUGAAAUGCGUAGAGAUCCGGAGGAACACCAGUGGCGAAGGCGACACGCUGGGCCGUACCUGACACUGAUGCGCGACAGCAUGGGGAGCAAACAGG